AUUGAACGCUGGCGGCAGGCCUAACACAUGCAAGUCGAGCGGAUGAAGGGAGCUUGCUCCUGGAUUCAGCGGCGGACGGGUGAGUAAUGCCUAGGAAUCUGCCUGGUAGUGGGGGAUAACGUCCGGAAACGGGCGCUAAUACCGCAUACGUCCUGAGGGAGAAAGUGGGGGAUCUUCGGACCUCACGCUAUCAGAUGAGCCUAGGUCGGAUUAGCUAGUUGGAGGGGUAAAGGCCUACCAAGGCGACGAUCCGUAACUGGUCUGAGAGGAUGAUCAGUCACAUUGGAACUGAGACACGGUCCAGACUCUUACAGUAGGAAGCAGUGGGGAAUAUUGGACAAGGGGCGAGUGCCUGAUCCAGCCAUGCCGCGUGUGUGAAGAAGGUCUUCGGAUUGUAAAGCACUUUAAGUUGUGAGGAAGUGCAGUAAGUUAAUACCUUGCUGUUUUGACGUUACCAACAGAAUAAGCACCGGCUAACUUCGUG
rnacentral:rRNA from 1 species